GCUGGGCAUGGUGGCACAGGCCUGUAGUCUCAGCUACUUGGGAGGCUGAGGCAGGAGGAUUGCUUGAGCCCAGGAGACGGAGGUUGCAGUGAGCUGAGAUCAUGCCACUGCACUCCAGCCUGGGCAACAGAGCAAGACUCUGUCUCAA
rnacentral:SRP_RNA from 1 species